rnacentral:rRNA from 1 species
UACGAAGGGUGCAAGCGUUACUCGGAUUUACUGGGCGUAAAGCGCGCGCAGGCGGACAAUUAAGCCAGAUGUGAAAUCCCAGGGCUCAACCCUGGAACUGCGUCUGGAACUGAUUGUCUAGAAUAUUGGAGAGGGAAUGGGAAUUUCUCAUGUAGGGGUAAAAUCCGUAGAGAUGAGAAGGAACACCAGAGGCGAAGGCG